GCUGCGGUGUCCGAGCGGUUAAGGAGAUGGACUUGAAAUCCAUUGGGUUUCUACCCGCACAGGUUCGAAUCCUGUCCGCAGCG